UACGAAGGGGGCUAGCGUUGUUCGGAAUCACUGGGCGUAAAGCGCACGUAGGCGGAUCUUUAAGUCAGGGGUGAAAUCCCGAGGCUCAACCUCGGAACUGCCUUUGAUACUGGGGAUCUCGAGUCCGGGAGAGGUGAGUGGAACUGCGAGUGUAGAGGUGAAAUUCGUAGAUAUUCGCAAAGAACACCAGUGGCGAAGGCGGCUCACUGGCCCGGAACUGACGCUGAGGU
rnacentral:rRNA from 1 species